ACGUAUACAGGCCUGUCAUUGCUGUCUUACCAGCAUGCUAGAAGCCAGGAAAUAGUGUGACCCGCGUAACGUUAAGUCACCGCAUUUGGGGGUGGGUUACAAUCUUUUCACUUUCAUUCUUCUGUCUUUUUCAAAUUGUUUCAAGUGAAUGAGUCAUUUUAGCGACACUUCCUUCAUUGCCCUCACGGAAAUGACGAAAUCACCGGACGUGACACCGAAAAUGCCCGCCGACAGAGCAAGAGCCCGAGGUCGAAUCAGGAAAAUUCGCAAAUCCGUCGUCCUCUCCUUCCCUUCCCCCUACCUCACCGAAAAACAAAAGCUCGCCGUAGCUUUCGAUCGCCAUCCGCCGCGAAAAUCGCUAUGGAGUCCACAAACGCUGCGAAGACCAGGAUUCGAGGGUUGAAUUCAAGCAAUACGGAAGAAGACCGCAAUUGAUCUCUCCACCUCGCCAGGCGAUCGCGCCAUUUUAAUUGUGUGAGAUUGGAAUUAUGUUGUUGCUCGGCAGAAUGUGGAGUUGAGGGUGAUGGUUGUUCUGAAGUGCUUCAUUGCCGCGGGUGGGGAUGAGAGAACUCAGAGUGAGGUCCAAGGCUUGUAAAGCUGUUUACAAUUGCACUCUUGCCAUGACAUUGGCGGAGUAUGCAUCAGCUGUUUAAUGUCAGAUUUGACAGAACUUAGUAGUUGGACUUGUCCUAGAUGUGAUGGAAAGACCAAGGCAUAUGUUGGGGUGGCCAAGGAUCUUAAUGCUGUGAUUAUAGCUUUUAGAGGUGCACAAGAACAUAGCAUACAGAAUUGGGUUGAAGAUCUCUACUGGAUAGUGGAAACAGCUUAACGUACUACCCGGGCAUGCAUGGUGCCCUGGAUAGCUCUAAAGAUGAUAUGCCUCUUGCAAGCUGUGGAUUCUUCUCGGUUGGAUUGAGUUACAGUCUUACUCUAUUGAUGUCCCCUUGUCUUGAUAUGACAAUUCAACCCGAUAGGAUGCUGUUAUAAGAACCAAGGAUUUAUAAGGGGACAUCAAUGUCAUGGUGACAGAGUAUUCUAUGGGAGGGGCUAUGGCAUCCUUUUGCGGAAUUGAUCUUGUGUGUUUGCAUCUUACUACAGUGUUUGCAUACCAAAAACAUUACGUAUUCCUCCUGGACAAGAUUUUUGUCUUAUUUGCCUCCGUACUAUUUUUGGUUCCCACAGAAGACGUACCAUCAAUUCCCUAGAGUGGUAUGGUGUUGAUCUUGACAGAAUAUCAAAUAAAUUAUGGGGAAUUGUUGAUGACUGAAUUUGAGGUUUGCUUUGCAUGUCUUUCAACCUGUCUAACAAGUGAAGUAUCAUAUAUUCCGGCAUUCUACGUACUCUUUUUGUUCAGCUUAUACAUUAUGACUGUCUUGUUUGUUUUUCUUCUUAACAAAGCAGGGUAGUUUGUAGGACUCAUUACGUUAUAAAUUUUUUUUUGAGUAACUCUCAUUCUUGCAAAAGCCAUCAUGAGUUUUUCAUAUCGAUUCAAAAGUUUAAGACACAUAAUAAUGUUUAUUAUACUCUCUCUCUCUCUCUCUCUCUCUCUCUCUCUCUCUUACACACACACACACAAUGUAUGUCUACUAAUGCGUAUAAUUAUUAGUGACUAGCUCAAAGAUAGCCACGGUUGAACAUAUUAAUGUGAGAUGAAAAUGAUUUGAUUCCACCUGCUUCUCUACUAACUAAUCAUACUCGUAACGGUUUUCAUGUAAUUGGAGUCUUCCCUUUAUUGUAGGUAUGGCUAUAUAACAUAGGAUUUAGUAGUUAUCAGGUUGAUAAAGUUUGUGAUACCUCAGGAGAAGAUGCAUCAUGCAGCAAGUGAUGAGCUAAUUUCAGUCGAAGCUACUUGUUCAAACAAUUAUUUUGUGGAUUUAUCAUGCAAGAUGCAAUAAGUCGUGAUGGACCAGCUUGUUCUAGAGAAUGUCUGUCCUUUGUUACUAGGAAUAUUUGUGGACAACUGAUCAGGGUAUUUUCCUGCAGAUUGGUACCGGUAACAGCAUUGUGGACCAUUUAGUCUUUCUAUAGUGUGCAAUUAGUGGCUAAGACAUGAGAAUCGUGCAAAAUCGUCAUGGACACUAUUGACGGAAUGUGGAAGCGAAGAUGUCAAAGGUAGAUGUGUAAAUGUUGCAACUGUGACACUUGCAUGGUUAGGCAAUUAACCGGUUUUUAUAAGGUGAAACAAAGACUGCGUUCACAGACCACUUCUCAAUCUAUGACACCUUACCUUCUCUUACAGGCACAUUGGCACAUAAGAUUUCUUGGCAGAACUAAGUACUUCAACUAUUUCCUCGUAGGGAAUUGUGCAGAUGAACUGUUAAAUCAAACCAUCUCGGAGACAGAUGAUGACUUUUGUCUUGCAUCAUUUCCACUGGCAACCUUUGCAAAAUUUUUACUCUUAGGAGGAAUUAACAUUAGUGGAAACCUGGAAAGUAAAAAACUUGGGGGGAAACUUCUGCCACUGAUAAGAAGGGAAACAGAACUGAAAUUAGAUGUCUUGCUGACAGGUACCUGUUCAAAACGUCAAAAGUGAGCAUUACCAAAGUGCUAAGUAAGCUCAUGGUGCUACACAAGUCAGGUCUAAAGUACAAUGCCAAAUGUUUACUAAUGUUUCAAAGAUCCAAUCUAGUUCAAAAGCAGAUACUCAACCAGGUCAGCCAAGCCACAUCCCAAAUUGCACAGAAAAUUCGGGUGAAUUACAUUUUGCGGCCAAGUUUUUGGCAUAAUGGCAAGCUACCCAUGAUGUUUCAAGUUUUGCAUCCUAGACUUUUUGAAAUUGGACACCAUGUGCAGCAAAAUGUUCUCGUAAAUCUGACCACGUGAUUGCCCGUGACUAGUUAUUGGACAUAUAUCAUCUAUAUAUGUGGGGAAAAAAACAGGGACUACCCAAAAGCAUAUUUUAAAACU